rnacentral:rRNA from 1 species
GAUGAACGCUGGCGGCGUGCCUAAUACAUGCAAGUCGAGCGAACAGACGAGGAGCUUGCUCCUCUGACGUUAGCGGCGGACGGGUGAGUAACACGUGGAUAACCUACCUAUAAGACUGGGAUAACUUCGGGAAACCGGAGCUAAUACCGGAUAAUAUAUUGAACCGCAUGGUUCAAUAGUGAAAGACGGUUUUGCUGUCACUUAUAGAUGGAUCCGCGCCGCAUUAGCUAGUUGGUAAGGUAACGGCUUACCAAGGCAACGAUUGGUAGCCGACCUGAGAGGGUGAUCGGCCACACUGGAACUGAGACACGGUCCAGACUCCUACGGGAGGCAGCAGUAGGGAAUCUUCCGCAAUGGGCGAAAGCCUGACGGAGCAACGCCGCGUGAGUGAUGAAGGUCUUCGGAUCGUAAAACUCUGUUAUUAGGGAAGAACAAAUGUGUAAGUAACUAUGCACGUCUUGACGGUACCUAAUCAGAAAGCCACGGCUAACUACGUG